CUCACAGAGUUUAUUGGCAUUCUGUCCACCUCCCAUCUCUUGAAAAUCUCUCUUUUCUCUCUGUGGAGGUGGGCAUACUGCCAACCAAGCUCUGUUGG
rnacentral:pre_miRNA from 11 species